UACGGGGGGGGCAAGCGUUGUUCGGAAUUACUGGGCGUAAAGGGCUCGUAGGCGGCCAACUAAGUCGGAUGUGAAAUCCCCAGGCUCAACUUGGGGACUGCAUCCGAUACUGGAUGGCUUGAAUCCGGGAGAGGGAUGCAGAAUUCCAGGUGUAGCGGUGAAAUGCGUAGAUAUCUGGAGGAAUACCGGUGGCGAAGGCGGCAUCCUGGACCGGCAUUGACGCUGAUGAGCGAAAGCUAGGGGAGCAAACGGG
rnacentral:rRNA from 1 species